GAAAUGCGAUACUUGGUGUGAAUUGCAGAAUCCCGUGAACCAUCGAAUCUUUGAACGCACAUUGCGCCCGCUAGUAUUCUGGCGGGCAUGCCUGUUCGAGCGUCAUUUCAACCAUCAAGCCCCCGGCUUGCGUUGGAGCCCUGCGGCUGCCGCAGGCUCCCAAAUCCAGUGGCGGGCUCGUCGUCGUACCGAGUGCAGUACACCUGAAC
rnacentral:misc_RNA from 1 species